UCAAGAGUACGUGAAACCGUUCAGGGGUAAACCUGAGAAACCCGAAAGAUCGAACGGGGAGAUUCAUCGUCAGCGCGGCAGACUCGGCGCGUGUUCGCGAUGUCGCGGGUCUCGCGGCCCGCGGCACGCGUCUCGCGCUCGACGUUCGGUCGCGUCGGCGUGCACUUCUCCCCUGGUAGGACGUCGCGACCCGUUGAGCGUCGGUCUACGGCACGGGGUGGGAGUCCGUCGGCGUUGGGGCGCCCUCUCGGGGGUGUCGCGCGUCGCGCGGACCACCCCUCACGGUGCCCGGUCGGCUGCUCGACGGUACGCCGAAUUUUUUUAACGGACGGUAUAGGGCCGCAGUCGUUCGCGAGUGCGUCCAGCCCGUCGCAAGCGCUGCCCGGUAGUCGGCGGAAACGGACCGUGCGCCGUCCGCUGGCACGGCGCGCUGUUGGUUCGACGGUGUCCUCGGACCGGCCAAGAACUGUAUACCGGUCGGCGACGCUAUUGCUUUGGGUACUUUCAGGACCCGUCUUGAAA
rnacentral:rRNA from 1 species